GUCGAGCGGGGAAAGUAGCUUGCUACAUUACCUAGCGGCGGACGGGUGAGUAAUGCUUAGGAAUCUGCCUAUUAGUGGGGGACAACAUUUCGAAAGGAAUGCUAAUACCGCAUACGCCCUACGGGGGAAAGCAGGGGAUCUUCGGACCUUGCGCUAAUAGAUGAGCCUAAGUCGGAUUAGCUAGUUGGUGGGGUAAAGGCCUACCAAGGCGACGAUCUGUAGCGGGUCUGAGAGGAUGAUCCGCCACACUGGGACUGAGACACGGCCCAGACUCCUACGGGAGGCAGCAGUGGGGAAUAUUGGACAAUGGGGGGAACCCUGAUCCAGCCAUGCCGCGUGUGUGAAGAAGGCCUUUUGGUUGUAAAGCACUUUAAGCGAGGAGGAGGCUCCCUAGACUAAUACUCUAGGUGAGUGGACGUUACUCGCAGAAUAAGCACCGGCUAACUCUGUGCCAGCAGCCGCGGUAAUACAGAGGGUGCAAGCGUUAAUCGGAUUUACUGGGCGUAAAGCGUGCGUAGGUGGCCAAUUAAGUCAAAUGUGAAAUCCCCGAGCUUAACUUGGGAAUUGCAUUCGAUACUGGUUGGCUAGAGUAUGGGAGAGGAUGGUAGAAUUCCAGGUGUAGCGGUGAAAUGCGUAGAGAUCUGGAGGAAUACCGAUGGCGAAGGCAGCCAUCUGGCCUAAUACUGACACUGAGGUACGAAAGCAUGGGGAGCAAACAGGAUUAGAUACCCUGGUAGUCCAUGCCGUAAACGAUGUCUACUAGCCGUUGGGGUCUUUGAGACUUUAGUGGCGCAGCUAACGCGAUAAGUAGACCGCCUGGGGAGUACGGUCGCAAGACUAAAACUCAAAUGAAUUGACGGGGGCCCGCACAAGCGGUGGAGCAUGUGGUUUAAUUCGAUGCAACGCGAAGAACCUUACCUGGUCUUGACAUAGUAAGAACUUUCCAGAGAUGGAUUGGGCCUUCGGGAACUUACAU
rnacentral:rRNA from 1 species